CCAUCUCAAGUCGGCGCGGAAGAAUGUCGACGCGUUGCCAACGAUGACACGUCGGUGACAGCCGCCCAAUGAUGACAUCAGCAAAAAUAUCCACGAAAAAGUGAUGAUCUCAUGAAGAAGCUAAAACUUAUUUAAUAUUCUAUAAAAUUCUAUUGUAUAUUAUUAACUACCUUAUUUCUGAACAAGUGAAUUUUUUACCGUGAAUUUGAUCUAAAACAGUUGAAGUUAAAACAAUUCUUAUAAACUAAGCUGACUAAAAGCACAAGUUCUUAACUAGGUAGUACGAACGGAGAACCUCUCCAACCUCAAAACUAACGCUGGAACGAUUUUUGGACAGGUAGAAUAGUUGGGAAACUAAUUUUCGAGCUGCGGAAAAAACCGAACUACGAAAAGUUUUACAACACCUAC